UGUAAAAAUUUUCAUCCAAUUCUAUUGUUAAAAAUUGGGGUUACUAACAGCAUAACCAAACAGUUACACGUGAUGUGUCACAUGUACCUUAUGCUAAAGUACAUUGACCAGUUUUUAACCGUAAAAUGGAUGAAAUUUUUAAUA
rfam:Gossypium arboreum cultivar AKA8401 contig_9822_3, whole genome shotgun sequence.